AACGAACGCUGGCGGCAGGCUUAACACAUGCAAGUCGAGCGCCCCGCAAGGGGAGCGGCAGACGGGUGAGUAACGCGUGGGAACGUACCGUUUGGUUCGGCACAACCCCGGGUAACGGGAGCGAAUACGGGGUAAGACCUAACGGGGAAAGAUAUAUCGCCUAAAGGUGGGACCGCGUCUGAUUAGCUCGUUGGGGAGGUGACGGCUCAGCAAGGCGACGAUCAGUAGCUGGUGUGAGAGGAUGACCAGCCACACUGGGACUGAGACACGGGCCAGACUCCUGCGGGAUGCAGCAGAGGGGAAUACAGGACUACGGGCGCAAGGCUGAUCCAGCCAGGCCGCGAGAGUGAUGAAGUCCUUAGGGUUGUGAAGCUCUUUUGUCCGGGGAGAUAAUGACGGUACCGGAAGAAUAAGCCCCGGCUAACUUCGUG
rnacentral:rRNA from 1 species